UACGUAGGGCGCAAGCGUUGUCCGGAAUUAUUGGGCGUAAAGAGCUCGUAGGCGGUUUGUCGCGUCUGCUGUGAAAACCUAAGGCUCAACCUUGGGCUUGCAGUGGGUACGGGCAGACUAGAGUGCGGUAGGGGUGACUGGAAUUCCUGGUGUAGCGGUGGAAUGCGCAGAUAUCAGGAGGAACACCGGUGGCGAAGGCGGGACUCUGGGCCGAUACUGACGCUGAGGAGCGAAAGCGUGGGGAGCAAACAGG
rnacentral:rRNA from 1 species